AUUUAAUAAGUCAAAAUCAAAUAAAAGUGAUUUUUAAAAAGAAUAAAUUUACAUACAGUACAUAAGCAAGACAGCUGAAGGUUUCUAAAAUAGAAACCUGGUGCAUAUGGCCCCAAAACACCACAUGCUUUGAUUACACUCAGGAAGCAUGAGUUGCCUAUUUGGGUGAGAAAAUCCCAUGUUACAGUGCGAUCACUGGGCACGUUUUGGAGUAAUUCCAGCCACUGCUAUGUAAGUGUUUUUAAUUCAGGGGUGUCUUCUACGUUUUCAUCUUCUGAAUAUCUUGUGACGGUGCAGGUUUGAGCAAAACUGGCAUGAAAUGAGAGCUGUUUUAGAUGAAGAUUGCAAGAUGGAUGGCUUGGCCCACAGUGGCAGUGGGUUGGGGGUGGAAUGUGGACAAUUAGGAAAAAGGCAUGUCAUUCUAUCUGGCUCCUGGAGAGGCAGAUAGUCCUGGGGGCUUUGGUGUCACAGUUCCCAAAAGCAAGGUUGGCCAGACCAUAGGCUUACAUUGUGGUGAGCUUGCCUUUUAAAUUAAUCUCCAAGAUGCCAGAUCGAGAGGGAUGGUGGACCUAGACUGAAGCCAAACCAGUAGGGGGCUCUCUUUCCCCAGAGAGAAACUCCAAAUGUCUUGAAAGGAGCCUGAACCAUACCCUUUGAAGGGGCAAGCAAUGGUCUGAGACAGAGAGAGGAUUUAACAGAGCAAAGUGCUGUGUGAGAAAUGAAUGGAAGAGGGCUAGCAAGACAAGGGUGUGAAUCAGGUAAUGCCUUUUUCACCCCGAUGAAUUUUUGUCUGAUUCUCACCACAGAGCAGGAGUGCUCAGAAACUGAGGUUGGCGUCACCAAUAUACACUUUUCAUUCUCCAGUUGCAGUAAUCAAAUACUUUAAAAAGUGACCAACCAUGACAAAUCCUUGGCUCAUUCUUUAAUGUGCUGUGGCUGAUAUAUUCAUCCUCAGCCCAAAUUAGUUAAGUACAGCCUUAAAUAUAUCAAUAUAGCUGAUCGGCCUUCCUAUUGUUGGGACUUAAAACUAGAGACAGCAGUAAAAAUUAUGUAUAUGAUAUAUAUAUAUAUAUAAAAUGAUAUAUAUAUAUCAUAUAUAUGAGAGGCCAGCACCCACUCUGUGACAAUGAUCACAAUCCCUCUUUUUAAAAAAUACAAGUGGGAAAAGCUGAUCCUUUUGUCAGCUGGCUUCAGACAAGUCAACCACAAUUAUUUGGUGUAAAUAUCCAGUGUUGC
rnacentral:lncRNA from 10 species